GCUGUACCACGAAGAUACAGGCACACACGAUGGAAGUAGCCUGGUGAGCGGGCAAAGGCUGGGUCAGCAUGGAUUAGUGCUGCCAUAUCAACCCUGCAUUGUACACCUCUGGACUUUACAUGAAAGGCAUCUUCCAGGCAGCCCUCCUCAGAUUUCACUUGUCCUUGAUUGAGCGCCCCUGGUACUUACCUAGAGGAGGAACGGCAGAAGCAUGCGCUUCAGAUCUGGAAUCAGAACGGCCUGGGACUCUCCAAAGCCACUGUCUGUGAGACUGCAAAAUUUACCUAACUUCCCGAUGCACUUCUUCGUGUUAUUUGCUGCGUCAUCUUCUGUGGAGUAACGUGGUUCUUCAACCUGAACACGAACUCAUGAAGAGAGAAAGGAGCAGUGGAAGAGCCGCUCUCCCAGCUGCUCAAAGCACUCCUUUUCC